UAAAUAAUCCUACCCUUUGUGAUUUGUUUGUUUGAAUAAUUUUUUUUUUAAAAAUUAUUGGAGUCUUCCCUUUAGAGUUGCUUUGAGUUGUAAAGAAUUCGAAACAUCUAAGGGAUGGUCAAUAAUUUUUUUGAAAAAGACAUUUUUAAAAUUAAACUUUUGUAUUCAUUGUCUAAAAUAUUUUUAUAAUAUAAAACAACUUUGACAAUGGAUCUCUUGGUUCUCGCAACGAUGAAGAACGCAGCAAAAUGCGAAAGUAGUGUGAAUUGCAGAAUACGUGAAUCAUCGAACUUGAACGCAUAUUGCACUUUUUUAGUUACUAAAAGUAUGUCUGUUUGAGUAUCAGUAAAAUUCUCAUAAAUCAUUGUGUAUUUUAUGGUUAUGAGUGUUUUACAACGAUACAAGUGUUUCACUUUAAAUUUUUUUAUAUUGAAAUUUUCUAAUUUUAAUAAUUAAAAUUGGAUAAAAUUUUCCCGUCAAAGGAAUAACCUAAACAAUUUUAAAUGAUAUUUAGCAAAUUUCGAAAAAGGAAAAUUUUAUUAAAUAACUUGAUCUCAAAUCAGAUAAGAGUACCCGCUGAACUUAAGCAUAUCAAUAAGCGGAGGAAAGAAACUAACAAGGAUUCCUUAGUAACGGCGAGUGAAGCGGAAGAGCUCAAAUUUGAAAUCUCAGGUUUACCUUGACGAUUGUAGUUUAAAGAAGUGUUUUCUGCUGAAGUUUUGGUAAAAGUUCUUUGAUAGGACAUCAUAGAGGGUGAGAAUCCCGUAUUGACCAUUAUUUCAGCUUGUGAUACACUUUCAAGAGUCGGAUUGUUUGGAAUGCAGUCCAAAUGGGUGGUAAUUCAUCUAAGCUAAUAUUGGCGAGAGACCGAUAGCGAACAAGUACCGUGAGGAAGAUGAAAGAACUUUGAAAGAGAGUUAACAGUACGUGAAAUUGUCAAAAGGAAGCGUUGACCCAGUGUGUUUUCUCGAAAUCAUUAAAAAUGGCUCGAUUUGUAUGCUGGACCUUAAAAGCUCACUGUACUUUUCGUGUCUUUUUAAUGCACUUUCGUUUAACAAGUCAACAUCAGUUUCUUUUGUUGUAAAGGGUCAUUGGAAGGUGGCUUCUUUUCGGAGAAAGUGUUAUAGCCUUGGCCUCUGCAAUCGAGGACUGAGGUCUGCAGCGUAGACUCUUCGGGUUAGAUACAUUGUGCAAGUUAUAGCUUUAUAGACACUGUUGACUAUAUAGUCUUGUAGCUUACUCGCUUAUGCUAUUUACCUACGCUUAGGAUG
rnacentral:misc_RNA from 1 species